GGCUUGAGUAGUAAUAGUUAUGUUCUUGAAACUCAAAGAAUUUGGCGGUGUUUUAGUCCUUUCAGAGGAACCUGUCCCGUAAUCGAUAAUCCACGAAUAACCUUACUUAAUUUGGUUUUCAGCUUGUAUACCGCCGUCGUCAGAAUGUCCUUAGAAGGGUUUAAUUUUCUUGAAUUUUUAUUAAAAAUGAUGUCAGGUCAAGGUGCAGUUUAUAAUUAAGUGGUGAUGGGUUACAAUAAAUAUAUUUAUACGGAAAAUAUCUUGAAAUAGGUGUUGGAAGGUGGAUUUGAUGGUAAUUUUAUUAAUUAAGUUAAUUUGAUUUUGGCUCUAAAACAUGCACACAUCGCCCGUCGCUCUUA
rnacentral:rRNA from 1 species